rnacentral:lncRNA from 1 species
UAGAAGUCAAAUUUUGUGUUUGAACUCAAAAACGUUGGCUUUCAAUGGAGAUAAGUCAUAUUUGGCAUUAUAGAGUUACGGACUCAAAAAUGAUCGAAUUUCGACUUAGAACGGAGAAACGAGCAUUGAAUGUUCACGAACGUUUAUCGUUUUCGUUAAAAAUGAACCAAUAGGUGAAUUUUUAGCAAACGAAGUCAAAUAGAUUAAAUUCUUAUAUGAACACGUAGAGUAUAUAAUUUGUGAAUCGUAGGCUUUUGAAUGAGCUGAUUCGGACUUAUAACGAAGAAUUUAUGAGCUCGGGAAAUUCGCAAAGUGGAAAAUUGUCCAAACUAUCUGGUGCACAGAGCUGGCGCCGCGGCGCCAAUCCUAGGCCAAUUUGUUACGUUGCAGCGCCGUGAAUAGUUUCUAACCUACUGGAAAGUGGUGCCGCAGCGUGGAACAUUGAGUAAGGACUCGCGUCGUAGCGCCAAGUCCGGGACUUUGCUACUGUAAUCUCGCGCCGCAGCGCGGCUUAAGGAGAACAAG